rnacentral:rRNA from 1 species
CCUGACUUCUUGGAAGGGCAGUAUUUAUUAGAUAUCAGCCAAUAACCUUCGGGUAUUGUGGNGAAUCAUAGUAACUUAGCGGAUCGGCUGGGCGUUAGCCCACGACAAACCAUUCAAGUUUCUGCCCCAUCAGCUUUCGAUGGUAGUGUAUUGGACUACCAUGGCUUUUACGGGUGACGGAGGAUUAGGGUUCGAUUCCGGAGAGGGAGCCUGAGAAACGGCUACCACAUCCAAGGAAGGCAGCAGGCGCGUAAAUUACCCAAUCCUAAUUCAGGGAGGUAGUGACAAGAAAUAACGGGCCGGGA